rnacentral:rRNA from 1 species
AUGGCGUACCACCUGUCAAGCGUGUUUAGAGGUCUUAGAGCCCUAUUUCAAGGUAGCAGCACGGCGGGUCAGCUUGCUUCCGCGCCAGAGGAGAGCACGGCGGGUCAGCUUGCUCCCGUGCCGGAGGAGAGCACGACGGCGCACCUUCCUCCCAUGCCGGAGGAGAGCACCAGCGGCUUCACGGAUGCCUUCGGCCAGCCGCCCAACUCCUACCGCGAGUCCAUCCGGAGCGUGUGCGUCGUCCGCCCCGAGUGGCGCAUCAGAUCGAGUCUCUCCGAUCAGAGCAGAUCCACCUACUCCAGCGACUCUGGUGCCUUGAGAUCCAUCACCUCCGGCUACUCCAACUCGGCGUCCGUUGGCUCAUCCGAUUUGGGUAUCAGCGAGCUCACGAAGAUAGCUCACAGAAUGGGCAGCGAAGGUUACACUCAGCGCAUGGUACAUGCAUUCCACAGCGCGUCUCUCACGGAAUCAUUUGGCCUGGACCCUGCACUAAGGAAUUGGUUCGUCGAGCUCGACGUGGACUGGAUUCUCAAACCGCUGCAGUUCCAGCUCCAAUGUGGAUCUGGGUAUUGGCUGCAAGAGAACUAG